rnacentral:lncRNA from 1 species
AUUUUAAGAACCAUUGAAGAUAUUUAAAAUCUGACAAUGGACUAUAUUCAUUUUAACUUCUUAGGCAUUUUUAGGAUCAUUUUUAUCAAUAGUGAAUCAGCAGUUUGGACUGUUCUCUCUGCUUACAUUUUAUCAUUUCAAAAUGCAAAUGAAAGAGCAACAGCACACCCCAGGAAAGUUUUUACCAUAAUAAUAAAGAUUUCAGAAAGACGAAUCAAACAAAAAAUAUUUGACCGAAAUUGAACUACUGCAAGCUGAGAAAUUUAGAUUUGAAAUUUUCAUUAAAGUUUACUAGGUGAGGAUCAAACAUAUUAUAGAUUGCUAUAAAUUUUAUUAUUAAAUAAAAUUUUAUGGAAUAAUGGUAAGUAUAAAUAUUCAUAAUGAAACAAUAUUUUUCAUGCUUCUUUAUUUUAUCAGAC